rnacentral:rRNA from 1 species
GUGGAGCCGUCCUUGAAAUACCACCCUUGUAGUGUUGAUGUUCUAACGUCGACCCCUUAUCGGGGUUGCGGACAGUGCCUGGUGGGUAGUUUGACUGGGGCGGUCUCCUCCCAAAGCGUAACGGAGGAGCACGAAGGUGGGCUAAUCACGGUUGGACAUCGUGAGGUUAGUGCAAUGGCAUAAGCCCGCUUGACUGCGAGAAUGACAAUUCGAGCAGGUGCGAAAGCAGGUCAUAGUGAUCCGGUGGUUCUGAAUGGAAGGGCCAUCGCUCAACGGAUAAAAGGUACUCCGGGGAUAACAGGCUGAUACCGCCCAAGAGUUCAUAUCGACGGCGGUGUUUGGCACCUCGAUGUCGGCUCAUCACAUCCUGGGGCUGAAGUCGGUCCCAAGGGUAUGGCUGUUCGCCAUUUAAAGUGGUACGCGAGCUGGGUUUAGAACGUCGUGAGACAGUUCGGUCCCUAUCUGCCGUGGGCGUUGGAGAAUUGAAAGGGGCUGCUCCUAGUACGAGAGGACCGGAGUGGACGAACCUCUGGUGUUCGGGUUGUGUCGCCAGACGCAUUGCCCGGUAGCUAAGUUCGGGAUCGAUAACCGCUGAAAGCAUCUAAGCGGGAAGCGAGCCUUGAGAUGAGUUCUCCCUGAUACUUUAAGUAUCCUAAAGGGUUGUCGUAGACUACGACGUUGAUAGGCAGGGUGUGUAAGCGUUGUGAGGCGUUGAGCUAACCUGUACUAAUUGCCCGUGAGGCUUAACCAU